rnacentral:rRNA from 1 species
GACGAACCGUGCGAACGUUGUUCGGAAUCACUGGGCUUAAAGGGCGCGUAGGCGGGCCUCCCAGUCCGGGGUGAAAGCUUUCGGCUUAACCGGAAAAGUGCCUUGGAUACUGGAGGUCUGGAGGGAGGUAGGGGCAAUCGGAACUUCCGGUGGAGCGGUGAAAUGCGUUGAUAUCGGAAGGAACGCCGGUGGCGAAAGCGGAUUGCUGGACCUUUUCUGACGCUGAGGCGCGAAAGCCAGGGGAG